rnacentral:tRNA from 1 species
GACGAGUUAGUUAAAUAUAACAUCAGAAUGUCAAACUGAUAUUAUCAAAAAUUGAUACCCUUCU